GUUUUAAUAGUUUAAAAUAAAAAUAAUGAUCUUGUAAAUCAUAGUUAGAUAAAUCUUUAAAACU
rnacentral:tRNA from 1 species